UAAAGCGUGCGCAGGCGGUUAUGUAAGACAGAUGUGAAAUCCCCGGGCUCAACCUGGGAACUGCAUUUGUGACUGCAUGGCUAGAGUACGGUAGAGGGGGAUGGAAUUCCGCGUGUAGCAGUGAAAUGCGUAGAUAUGCGGAGGAACACCGAUGGCGAAGGCAAUCCCCUGGACCUGUACUGACGCUCAUGCACGAAAGCGUGGGGAGCAAACAGGAUUAGAUACCCCAU
rnacentral:rRNA from 1 species